rnacentral:tRNA from 1 species
UUCUAGUUAGUACAAUGGUUAGUAUAGGGCACUUUCACUGCUCAGAUCAGGGUUCGAUUCCCUGGCCGGAAA